UUGAAAGGGAAACGAUUGAAGUCAGUCGUACCAGCGGGAAAUCAACCUUUCGAGUGGGGGUUUUGGAGUUUUUUGAAGAGUGUCAAAACCUUUGAGAUUUCAAAAUAUUCGCUCUUUUGGUGUACUUUCUCGUGGGUAGGUUAACAUCGAUUUUGAUCAUCAUAAAAAGAUUGGAGGAAUGUAGCUUCGAUCUUGUAUUGAAGUGUUAUAGCCUUUGGUAAAUGUGAUGAUUAGGAUCGAGGAUUGCAACGAAUACCCUUUUGGGCUAUCCGCCUGAUCUCUGAUACGUGGCCUUGGUAUCGAAAGCGUGCUUAUGGUAUUGAGGUAUUACGGUCAAAAGGUUAGAACGGAUUACAUCGUUAAGGAUGUUGACGUA
rnacentral:rRNA from 1 species